UUGCUUCAGCAGCACAUACACUAAAAGUGGAACGAUACAGAGAAGAUUAGCAUGGUCCCUGUGCAGGAAUGACAUGCAAAUCCAGGAAGCAUUCUAUAUUUUU